rnacentral:misc_RNA from 1 species
AAGUCGUAACAAGGUUUCCGUAGGUGAACCUGCGGAAGGAUCAUUAACACGUAUCCAAACGUUAAAACCCCCCCGUGAACCUUCAUCCUCAUAGCCCGGAAAGUUGUAGUGAUUCAGAGACCUCUGGCUACGUGCGAACAUUGGAACAGUUACAAUCGAGCGGUAGUUCUAUAGGCAAUGUUUCUCCAAGCAGUCAGUGUCGGAAAGUGUCAUUGAUUGUGCAAGGAUAGCGCUUCUACGAUUCCUGUAGACCGUACACUCGGGCAGGAGCUUUGCCAAAGGGUCCCCAUGCCCCCUAAUAACCCCACAGUUUAAUGUGAAGCUCAAUGUAAUACAUUGGGUAAAAAAACCGAACAACUGUUAACAAUGGAUAUCUUGGUUCUC